UGGGGAAUAUUGGACAAUGGGCGAAAGCCUGAUCCAGCCAUGCCGCGUGUGUGAAGAAGGUCUUCGGAUUGUAAAGCACUUUAAGUUGGGAGGUAGGGCAGUAAGCGAAUACCUUGCUGUUUUGACGUUACCGACAGAAUAAGCACCGGCUAACUCUGUGCCAGCAGCCGCGGUAAUACAGAGGGUGCAAGCGUUAAUCGGAAUCACUGGGCGUAAAGCGCGCGUAGGUGGUUCGUUAAGUUGAAUGUGAAAGCCCCGGGCUCAACCUGGGAACUGCAUCCAAAACUGGCGAGCUAGAGUAGGGCAGAGGGUGGUGGAAUUUCCUGUGUAGCGGUGAAAUGCGUAGAUAUAGGAAGGAACACCAGUGGCGAAGGCGACCACCUGGGCUCAUACUGACACUGAGGUGCGAAAGCGUGGGGAGCAAACAGG
rnacentral:rRNA from 1 species